UAUAUUAUGAAAUACUAAUAAUUGAAAUUAAAAUAAAUAUUAAAAAGAUAAAAUAGGAAAAUUAAAAUCUUCAAACCGUCUAAUAAAAUGGGAUAUUUUAUCUAAUAAAACAAGACAAAUAAAAGAGAAAAAAUAAAAACAAAACAGAAAAAAAGUACACGUUUGUAUUUUGUAAAAUUGACCAGUUUCAGAAUAAAUUUCUAUAAUAUAGAAUAAAUAUAACAUAGACAAGAUAGCCUAGUGAAAGAGACUUCAUUUUGCUCAUCAAAGGUUGUGGGUUCAAAUCUUUACAACUUCAAUAUUUGUUUUUAUCAUUUUUAAAUUUUAAUGAUUAAAAAUAAUUAAAAUAAAAAUAAAAAGUCAACUUGACAUUUUAAAUAAAUUAAAAGAAAAAAUCAACUGGGAAAUCUACAUCAUCUAAAAAAGUUAAAAAUAAAAAUGUCAUAAAGGCAAUACCGAAUCAUUUUUCUUAUAAUCGAAUUAAACGAGAUAGAAGAAUCUUUGUAAGAUAAAAAAAGAAUUCAAACUUUUUUUUACACGAAGGUUUUUAAAAAAUCCCAAAUAUAAGAUGAGCAAAAUAAAUAUUAACUCUCUUUUUAUAUAAAGAGACAACACUUUCUUUAAAACAAUGUUUCCCUACACCACUUCCUCGCAACCU
rnacentral:lncRNA from 1 species